UUUCUGUACGGAAUUAAUGAAGCUCGACGGUUGUGAUCGUUCGAUGAGUAUCCGACGGCCUCAGUUUGGCUGCGAUUAAUUGAUGGAGGCCGUUGAUGAACAACGAUGAUUGAAGAUGGAGCGAUGAUAGAUGAUGAUUAGCCGUGUGAUUAGGAAUCGGAAGCCCAAGAUUGAAUUCAGAGGUUGAUGAUUGAUAAAGAUGAUGAAGAUGAACGGUCGACGAUGAUGGAUGAUGAUGGACCGCCUGGGUUGGAUCAACGCAGCAGGGGAAGGAGACAAGAAAAAUGAGGAAGCAAUUUGAGGGUCUGAUGUUUUUGAAAAGGAAAGGGGGGCAUGAUUUGAUUUUGGGAUUUUGAAAAGGAAAUAAUCGGUCUUGCGUGCAACAGGUGUACGUUAAUAUUAACGUGCACUAAUAUUUCACACGUGCGAAGCUAGCCGCGGAUAUGUCAGACCAAAUGCUUACCACUUACCAACCUCCUCCCUUUCUCUCUCCUCCCAUCACCCCCAGACACAAAAAUGGCGGAGCAUCUCACUCCUCCUCUUCACUCUGCUUCGAUUCUCUCUCCUCCACUACUUCCUCCCUCUCUCUGGCAACUCUAUUCGCCGUCACAACCUCUGUUAUCCGCCAACUUCACCUCGUCUUCUCCGAUUAGCUGUCGCGGAAUCUCUCACCAUACCUAUUCUCUGGCUCCAUCUCCUGCAUCUGUUAUUCUUCAGAAUUUGUGAAGAGGAGAGAGAAACACUAUGGAAAGGAGAGAGAAACUGUGAAGAGGCGAGAGAAAGUAAUGGAAAAUUCUCAGAUGUUGGUUGAUUUUUCUAUUUCAAUAUCAAAUUCUAUUGAUUAUUCUUCUUCAAAUUUGAAUUCCUCUGCUGAUAAUCCGAUUUGUGAAGCUGUUUUUGAAGAUUUGACAUCAUUUGUUGCUGGUCAAGUAAAAGCUUCAUUUGCUCUUCAAUACUGUACUUUUUGAAAAAAGAACAAACAUAAAAGAACAUUAAGAUUUAUAUCUAAUAAACAUAAAAGAACAGAACAACAAAACCCAAAAAAAAAAAAAAAACAAGUGCACCGUUCUUAUCAUGAACAUGGCUUGUAUUUCUUCUCCUCCCCCCUCUUUUUUUUUAGUUUUUUUAUUUUUCAUUUUCUAUAUAUAUAAUAUUUCUCCUAUUGGAUUCAUAACUUCUCAUUUUAAAAACACAUUCUUGAGAGAGAAAGAGGAGUGCUUUUAGUUUCUCCCAACAAAAGAGAGAUUUUAUGAGAGAGAAAGUUCAAAACAAAUUUUCUCCUUCUUUUUCUGAAAUGUGAUUUUAAUUGAAUUACGUUUACAAAAAACGAGUUUAUUAAGCGAAAUACUAUUUCAAUUUCGCUAUUUUUUGAAUUUUUUUAUUCAUUCAAAGAGGUUUAUGCUGUUGAUGAAGGUGCAUCGGGUGAUUAAGGUAAAUUUUCUCGUUCUUAAUUCUAUGUUCUUUUUAAAUUUUAAUGUUCUUUUCUUAUAACUUUCUAUUUCUGUGGCAUCAAAACAGUGUGUUCUUUUUUAGAAUCAGCAAUUGUUCUUUUUACAUAUUUAUAGUGUUGUUUUCAGAUAUAUUUUGAUAAAUAAAAUAACGGAAGUAGAACAUAAAUUGGUUGAAAAAGAACAUUUCCAGAACUUAAAAGAACAAGAAAAAAUAUAGAUAUGGUUUUAAAGUUCAUCAAAGGUUCGUCGUUUUAUUUUUUAAUUAGAAAAUAAAUUGGUUGGAAAAGAACAUUUACAGAACUUAAAAGAACAAGAAAAAUUAUAAAUCUGGUUUUAAAGUUCAUCAAAGGUUCGUCGUUUUAUUUUUUAAUUAGAACAUACUGUAAAUUGGUUGGAAAAGAACAUUUCCAGAACUUAAAAGAACAAGAAAAAAUAUAACUGCUUUUUAUAUUUGUACCUUUUGUCUGAUUUGUCAAAUUGUGUUCUUUUUGUUAGUGUUCUUUUUGUUAAUGUUCUUUUUUUUUGCGGUUUUUAUUUUUAUUGCGUUUUAUUGUUAUGUGCGUUUUGGGACAGGUGCACCAAGAGCACCAUGCACACCCCUGCACAAUCUGAGCGUUGGAAUUAUUCCACUAACAAUAUCAUUCCCAUCCCUCCAUCUCCCUCUGUCUCCAUAAUUUCUUAUCUAAGCAUAUACAUUUCGUAUUUCUGAAAUCUUUAAAAAAUGGAUCCCUUCCUUUUCUUCGCUCUAUCUUUUACCCAAAAAAGGGAGCUUGUUUCCCUCCCCUCCUUCCUUUCUCUCCAUUUUUUUUA